UACGUAGGGUGCAAGCGUUGUCCGGAAUUAUUGGGCGUAAAGAGCUUGUAGGCGGUUUGUCGCGUCUGCUGUGAAAUUUCGGGGCUCAACCCCCGAACUUGCAGUGGGUACGGGCAGACUGGAGUGUGGUAGGGGAGACUGGAAUUCCUGGUGGAGCGGUGAAAUGCGCAGAUAUCAGGAGGAACACCCGUAGCGAAGGCGGCACUCUGGGCCGAUACUGACGCUGAGGAGCGAAAGCGUGGGGAGCAAACAGG
rnacentral:rRNA from 1 species